GAGACAGAUAUGCAGACCUAAAACUUUGGGAGGCCUGGGCAUUAUCAAUCUCAGAGUUCCGAACAAGGUCUUGUUAAUGAAAUGGUGGUACAAACUUUAUGAUGAGAGCGAGCGGCCUUGGAGCUCAUUGAUACUGAAGGCCUACUGUUCUGAGUCAACACUGGGAGACUCCAACUCAUGAUGUACCAAAGCUUCUUCUCCUUUCUGGUGAAGUGUGCUAAAAGUGAAGGACACGGUCCAACAAUUUUCGACGCUAACUGUUGGAAAUGGACG
rnacentral:lncRNA from 1 species